rnacentral:lncRNA from 1 species
ACAGCUUUAGUCACUGAAUUUUAUUCAUAAACUAUCAUAGAUUGUACAAGAUGUCAUCUUUUUAUGAAAGAGGCAAAGUGUUAGUGACGACAAAUUAAGUUGCAAAGCAAUUUGCCUCUCAUGCUCAUAUCAACCACCCUUUUAAUUAGUCUUACACAAAAGUUCUGAAUAUUGAUCAACAAACAUCAUAGGGGGGGAUCAUAUUUAUAACCGUGUCCCCAAGGGGUAUCAUGUCUUUUGAAUUCUCUAAGCUGCCGAUCUGUCUUGCCUGUUUUCACAACAAACAAAUAUGAUAAAGGUUUGUUUAACUGUCCAGAUAUAAAUAAAGGGAAUACAAAGAUGUAAAGAUGUUGAGAAUAUAAUAAAUAUUAAAGUUGCUCUUAGUUUACGUUUUUAGAUGAGUUGGUGAUUAACUCUUUCACAUGAUAUUAGAGCAGGCAAUAGAUCAAACCUCACCAUUUACAUAAUUAAAUGUUUGCAAAUGUUUGGCCCGCUUAUGAGGAGAGCUCGACUACACGUGAGUGAGCAUGUUAAAAAUAUAAUAAAUAAUAAAGUUGUUCAUCUCUCUAACAGCUUAAGUUUUUAGAUGAGUUGAUGACUAAUUCUUUCACAAAAGGGAUACGUAAUACAAUAAGAUACACUAUAUAUAAGAAGUAAGAUUAUAUACACUAUGUUCGUUUGGGUUACGAACUUCGGAUAUAGUUUGGGAUAAGGAAAAAAUGAUUGAUCUUAACCAUUGAAUGAAUAUUGAGAGAGAGCCAUGUUGGCUGGUUGGGAGUCUAAAUUGUGUGAUAUAUUAUAUAUCACACUUUUGGAAUAUAGUGAGCAUGACAAAACUUAUAGUAGAUUUUUGUUAAUUUUUAUCUAGAAAAAGGUUGUAGGCAAAUGUUUGGCAAAAUUUUUUAAAAUUACUUAACAACGAUUUUGUUUUUGCUUUUGAAGGAGGAAUUAAGCAGAUUUUUAGAAUCACCCCAAUUGUUACUUGUCCAAAAAAACUUUAACAAAAUCUAACAAGUGUACGUUGUUUAGGCUUUACAAACAUGCACAGUAUUCCUCGUAUGUUAUAAACUUAUAACCAGUUCUAAUUGCCAACGAAACACAAAAUAUAAAAAGUAGAAGAGAACAUUUGGUAUGAUUUGCAAAAUAAAAAUAUGAAAAAUAUAUAUUUUGUGCGAUAUAUUGACAGUGAGCCAACAAACACACGGGUCCUAUCACAUUUGAAUUUGUACUGUCCACCACUGAACACCGUCUCCAGCAAAACUCUUUCCGAAAGGUGCUAUAUCAAGAUUCAUAUGUUCAUAUAUAUAAUAUGGACAUCGCUUCUCUAAAGUCGUAUGGGUGCAACGCAAGCAUUUUGGCAUAAAUUUUUGGGUUUUAUUUUGAGCUCAUUUUAGUGAUACAAACCGUUUACAUUGUAGAUGGGUGUACUUCAAGUAUUUUGAGUUAUAUUUUGAGCUCUAUUUUGAGCUCAUUUUAAUGACACAAAUCCUUUAUAUUGUAGUAUCCGUCUUAAAUAUCAGUAUUGUAAACUAUCACAUUGAUAGGGCACAAUUCAGCAUCCGUUCAGUACUAUUUUAUAACUUAAUAAAUUAGUAUAACACACAAGAUUAGACGUCUUUAUCUUGAUAUAAAUUGAUAUUAACUAUUGAUCUGUAUCCAAUUAAAGUGAUUUUUUAUAGGAUUAAAAUUUUGUAAGAGGUCUACUUAUAAACGAUUUGAAUCAUCAAAAUAAAUUUAAAUAAAACUCAAAUUAUUUAGACUGCACCGAUACAAUUCAAAAAUAGUAUGCAAGUAAGUCUAGUUUGUAUAAUAUCAUAUUGGAUAUUUACGAUGGGCUUCUUGUUUGGCAUUAAUAGUUAAGAAAAUAGUUUAGGGACAAAAUAUCUUUCCACAAUGUUUGUAAUACAAAACAUUAAAACAAAAGUGAGUUUUUUUUGAUUUAUAGCUCAGUAUGCUCAGCUUAACUGACUUCCAGAGACACUAAUAUGAGUGAUCGACCUAAAGCAGUUCCCAAAAGCAAGAAUCCAGAUUGAAACUUACGUGUAACGUCAAGCAGUUCCCUUGCAGCCACUUCGAAAGCCAAGAGAAGGAUAAGAGUCAAGAGAAAGAUUCCAAAAACAAGCAACUUCUUUGAACCCAUUUUUCUCGAGGAGCACAAUAACAAAAUUUGGGGAUUCCUAUUUAUAAAUAGGGAAUUCCCAAAUUUGGUUAAUG